AGUGAACGCUGGCGGUAGGCCUAACACAUGCAAGUCGAACGGCAGCACAGUAAGAGCUUGCUCUUACGGGUGGCGAGUGGCGGACGGGUGAGGAAUACAUCGGAAUCUACUUUUUCGUGGGGGAUAACGUAGGGAAACUUACGCUAAUACCGCAUACGACCUACGGGUGAAAGCAGGGGAUCUUCGGACCUUGCGCGAUUGAAUGAGCCGAUGUCGGAUUAGCUAGUUGGCGGGGUAAAGGCCCACCAAGGCGACGAUCCGUAGCUGGUCUGAGAGGAUGAUCAGCCACACUGGAACUGAGACACGGUCCAGACUCCCACGGGAGGCAGCAGUGGGGAAUAUUGGACAAUGGGCGCAAGCCUGAUCCAGCCAUACCGCGUGGGUGAAGAAGGCCUUCGGGUUGUAAAGCCCUUUUGUUGGGAAAGAAGAGCAGCAGGUUAAUACCCCGCUGUUCUGACGGUACCCAAAGAAUAAGCACCGGCUAACUUCGUG
rnacentral:rRNA from 1 species